GAGCAAAGAUAUCAAAACACAAUUGAUUCUGUAUUUAGCCAUCAGAGUCCAGCUAUGAAAAUCCAUUUUUGAUGAUGGUUUGGCCAAAGAAUUUUGCUAGGGACGAGGAAAGGGCAAAAAUAAAUUUUGUGAUCUAGUGCCUUGCGAUGUCAUCACAGGAAUUGCUUUGAAAAAUUUGCCGCAUGAGACAUAGUUUGCUGU